rnacentral:rRNA from 1 species
GAUGAACGCUGGUGGCGUGCCUAAUACAUGCAAGUCGAGCGAACAGACGAGGAGCUUGCUCCUCUGACGUUAGCGGCGGACGGGUGAGUAACACGUGGAUAACCUACCUAUAAGACUGGGAUAACUUCGGGAAACCGGAGCUAAUACCGGAUAAUAUAUUGAACCGCAUGGUUCAAUAGUGAAAGACGGUUUUGCUGUCACUUAUAGAUGGAUCCGCGCCGCAUUAGCUAGUUGGUAAGGUAACGGCUUACCAAGGCAACGAUGCGUAGCCGACCUGAGAGGGUGAUCGGCCACACUGGAACUGAGACACGGUCCAGACUCCUACGGGAGGCAGCAGUAGGGAAUCUUCCGCAAAGGGCGAAAGCCUGACGGAGCAACGCCGCGUGAGUGAUGAAGGUCUUCGGAUCGUAAAACUCUGUUAUUAGGGAAGAACAAAUGUGUAAGUAACUAUGCACGUCUUGACGGUACCUAAUCAGAAAGCCACGGCUAACCACGUG